GUGGGUAUAGCUCCGUGGUAAAGUGUGUGCCUAGCAUGAAUGAGGUCCUGGGUUCAAUCCCCAGUGCCUCCA
rfam:Camelus ferus unplaced genomic scaffold scaffold371, whole genome shotgun sequence.